rnacentral:rRNA from 1 species
UACGUCAACAUCCUUAAGCAAAUUUUUGAUCGUUCUAACCUAAUGGGCAUUAGUACUCCCCGGUGGCAAGAAUGUUGUCACAAGAGAGGUAACAUCCAGAGAUCAGGCGACAAGCCAAAGGCAAUUUGCUGCAAUCCUCGAUCCCACAGGCUGCAUCCCCCAGGGUCUAUAAUACUCUCCCGAAGCAGAGCUACUUUUCCCCAAGUAUUUUACAACCUCCGAAACCGAUGCUGACCUGCCAAAGAAAAAGUACAUCUAACAAAUCUCAAGUACAAAAGAGAAACGGUUUGACCCUGCCUCUACUCCUGAACUCAAAACCCGUCAAACUGAUUUUUCACUAGCAUGACUGACUUCAAUCGUUUCCCUUUCAACAAUUUCACGUACUAUUUAACUCUCUUUUCAAAGUUCUUUUCAUCUUUCCUUCACAGUACUUGUUCGCUAUCGGUCUCUCGCUGAUAUUUAGCCUUAGGUGAAGUCUACCACCCAUUUUGAGCUGCAUUCCCAAACAACUCGACUCUUAGAAAGCGAAUAUUAAAUAUUUUGGUCUGAUCAUGCACGGGAUUCUCACCCUCCAUGAUGUCUUGUUCCAAAGAACUUGAACCAGACCUCCACACCGAUAUCGCUUCUUCAAAUUACAAUUCGACCUGGGAACCAGGUGGAUUUAAAAUUUGAGCUUUUCCCUCUUCACUCGCCGUUACUAGGGGAAUCCUUGUUAGUUUCUUUUCCUCCGCUUAUUGAUAUCG